rnacentral:rRNA from 1 species
UACGUAGGGUGCAAGCGUUGUCCGGAUUCAUUGGGCGUAAAGGGUGCGUAGGCGGCGCGGUAAGUCGGGUGUGAAAUCUCGGAGCUUAACUCCGAAACUGCAUUCGAUACUGCCGGACUGGAGGCAGGUAGGGGAGAGCGGAAUUCCCGGUGUAGCGGUGAAAUGCGCAGAUAUCGGGAAGAACACCGGUGGCGAAGGCGGCUCUCUGGGCCUGUCCUGACGCUCAGGCGCGAAAGUGUGGGGAGCGAACAGG